UACGUAGGAGGCAAGCGUUGUCCGGAUUUAUUGGGCGUAAAGAGCUCGUAGGCGGUGUGUCGCGUCGGCCGUGAAAACCUGCAGCUUAACUGUGGGCUUGCGGUCGAUACGGGCAUCACUGGAGUUCGGCAGGGGAGACUGGAAUUCCUGGUGUAGCGGUGAAAUGCGCAGAUAUCAGGAGGAACACCGGUGGCGAAGGCGGGUCUCUGGGCCGAUACUGACGCUGAGGAGCGAAAGCGUGGGGAGCGAACAGG
rnacentral:rRNA from 1 species